AGAGAGAAGAACAGAGAAGAGGAGAGGAUAGAGAGAAGAACAGAGAGGAGGAGAGGUUAGAGAGAAGAACAGAGAGGAGGAGAGGAUAGAGAGAAGAACAGAGAGGAGGAGAGGAUAGAGAGAAGAACAGAGAGGAGGAGAGGUUAGAGAGAAGAACAGAGAGGAGGAGAGGAUAGAGAGUAGAAGAGAGAGGAGGAGAGGAUAGAGAGAAGAACAGAGAGGAGGAGAGGUUAGAGAGAAGAACAGAGAGGAGGAGAGGAUAGAGAGAAGAAGAGAGAGGAGGAGAGGAUAGAGAGAAGAACAGAGAGGAGGAGAGGAUAGAGAGUAGAAGAGAGAGGAGGAGAGGAUAGAGAGAAGAACAGAGAGGAGGAGAGGAUAGAGAGAAGAACAGA